UUGAACGCUGGCGGCCGGCCUAACCCCUGCCAGGCGAGCCGAUGAAGGGAGCUUGCUCCUGGAUUCAGCGGUGGACGGGUGAGUAAUGCCUAGGAAUCUGCCUGGUAGUGGGGGAUAACGUCCGGAAACGGGCGCUAAUACCGCAUACGUCCUGAGGGAGAAAGUGGGGGAUCUUCGGACACCACGCUAUCAGAUGAGCCUAGGUCGGAUUAGCUAGUUGGUGGGGUAAAGGCCUACCAAGGCGACGAUCCGUCACUGGUCUGAGAGGAUGAUCAGUCACACUGGAACUGGAACACGGUCCAGGCGCCUGCGGGAGGCAGCAGUGGGGAAUAGUGGACAAUGGGCGGAAGCCUGAUCCAGCCAUGCCGCGUGUGUGAAAAAGGUCUUCGGAUUGUAAAGCACUUUAAGUUGGGAGGAAGGGCAGUAAGUUAAUACCUUGCUGUUUUGACGUUACCAACAGAAGAAGCACCGGCUAACUUCGUG
rnacentral:rRNA from 1 species